UACGAAGGGGGCUAGCGUUGCUCGGAAUCACUGGGCGUAAAGCGCGCGUAGGCCGUUUGCUAAGUCAGGGGUGAAAUCCUGGAGCUCAACUCCAGAACUGCCUUUGAUACUGGCGGACUCGAGUCCGGGAGAGGUGAGUGGAACUGCGAGUGUAGAGGUGAAAUUCGUAGAUAUUCGCAAGAACACCAGUGGCGAAGGCGGCUCACUGGCCCGGUACUGACGCUGAGGCGCGAAAGCGUGGGGAGCAAACAGG
rnacentral:rRNA from 1 species